rnacentral:rRNA from 1 species
AACGAACGCUGGCGGCAUGCCUAACACAUGCAAGUCGAACGAGACCUUCGGGUCUAGUGGCGCACGGGUGCGUAACGCGUGGGAACCUGCCCUUAGGUUCGGAAUAACUCCCCGAAAGGGGUGCUAAUACCGGAUAAUGUCUUCGGACCAAAGAUUUAUCGCCUUUGGAUGGGCCCGCGUUGGGUUAGCUAGUUGGUAGGGUAAAAGCCUACCAAGGCGACGAUCCAUAGCUGGUCUGAGAGGAUGAUCAGCCACACUGGGACUGAGACACGGCCCAGACUCCUACGGGAGGCAGCAGUGGGGAAUAUUGGACAAUGGGCGAAAGCCUGAUCCAGCAAUGCCGCGUGAGUGAUGAAGGCCUGAGGGUUGUAAAGCUCUUUUACCCGGGAUGAUAAUGACAGUACCGGGAGAAUAAGCUCCGGCUAACUCCGUG